GAUAAGCCAUAAAAUGAAUUUGCAACACGUGGGUUAUAUCUAUACUAUGGCAUUCUAAAAAUGUUUGAGGGGGAAAAGCGUGCCAUAAAAGCAGGUUUCGCCAAUUAAGUAUACGCCGCGUGGCGGCAAUGAGAAAUGAGUUCGUAAUAGUUCAGUAGUUCUUCCUCGCUUAGAUGGAUUGCAAUGGCAAGUGGAUUGAUUAUUCAUAGAUCAGAAUGUGUAUAAUAUAUUCUACAUGUAUGUUUGCUAUGAGGCAAAAGUGCAAUGAACCUUUUGUGGCUGGCAAAUUGGGUUAGCACAUGCAAUGUAUCCCGAGUGCCUGGAUUUGUGUCAGCCUCGAGCACAAUUAAAAUCAAUAGAGCGCAGUGAAA